UUUCGAAUAUUUUGCAUGUAUCAGACCUCUCAUAAACAAGAUAGGGUAUUCCUACACAGCUGGUGGGACCCACGGCAUAUCGAUCAUUAAGUCUUCAAAAAAGAAUAAAUACGAUUGCAUUACAUGUAGUUACGGAUGCGAUCAUACCAGCACCAAUGCACCAGAUCCCAUCAGAACUCUGCAGUUAAGCGUGCUUGGGCAAGAGUAGUACUAGGAUGGGUGACCUCCAGGAAAGUCCUCGUGUGUCAUCCCUCUUUUUGUUUUGUUAAACAUGUAUGACUCUAUAACUUUAAGACCGUGAGGCCAAACUUUACAUGUGAUACCUUUUCGGAAAGCCCAAAGAGAGCUCCCCGAUGAAUUAGGAAGGAAAAUGGAAUUCUUCUAUAGUUUUUUUUUCUACUCCAAAUUUUGACCUUAAUGUACUUUUUCAGGCCUUUUCGUAAUCUUUGCUAUAUUACGGGGCAAAAUUUAUAUUUACGGACAUUGUUUUCGUAUAUUUUGCAUGUAUCAAAGCCCUUAUAAACAAGAUAGGGUAUUCCUACAUAGCUGGUGGGACCCACGGCAAAUCGAUCAUAAAGUCUUCAAAAAAGAAUAGAUACGAUUGCAUUGCAUGUAGUUACGGAUGCGAUCAUACCAGCACUAAUGCACCAUAUCCCAUCAGAACUCUACAGUUAAGCGUGCUUGGGUGAGAGUAGUACUAGGAUGGGUGACCUCCAGGAAAGUCCUCGUGUGUCAUCCCUCUUUUUGUUUUGUUAUAAAUGUAUGACUCUAUAACUUUAAGACCGUGAGGCCAAACUUGACAUGUGAUACCUUUUCGGAAAGCCCAAAGAGAGCUCUCCGAUGAAUGAGGAAGGAAAAUGGAAUUCUUCUAUUGGUUUUUUUCCUUCUCCAAAUUUUGAUUUUAAUGUACUUUUUAGAGCCUUUUCGUUAUCUUUGUUAUAUUACGGGGCCAAAAUUAUAUGUUCGGACAUUAUUUUCGAAUAUUUUGCAUGUAUCAAACUUCUUAUAAACAAGAUAGGGUAUUCCUACACAGCUGGUGGGACCCACGGCAAAUGGAUCAUAAAGUCUUCAAAAAAAAAUAGAUACAAUUGCAUUGCAUGUAGUAACGGAUGCGAUCAUACCAGCACUAAUGCACCAGAUCCCAUCAGAACUCUGUAGUUAAGCGUGCUUGGGCGAGAGUAGUACUAGGAUGGGUGACCUCCAGGAAAGUCCUCGUGUUGCAUCCCUCUUUUUUUCGGUUUUUCUCUUUUUUUU
rnacentral:sRNA from 1 species